GACGAACGCUGGCGGCGUGCUUAACACAUGCAAGUCGAACGAUGAACUUGGAGCUUGCUCUGGGGGAUUAGUGGCGAACGGGUGAGUAACACGUGAGUAACCUGCCCUGGACUCUGGGAUAACUUCGAGAAAUCGGAGCUAAUACCGGAUAGGACCUUGCACCGCAUGGUGUGGGGUGGAAAGUUUUUCGGUUUGGGAUGGACUCGCGGCCUAUCAGCUUGUUGGUGAGGUAAUGGCUCACCAAGGCGUCGACGGGUAGCCGGCCUGAGAGGGUGACCGGCCACACUGGGACUGAGACAAGGCCCAGACUCCUACGGGAGGCAGCAGCGGGGAAUAUUGCACAAUGGGCGCAAGCCUGAUGCAGCAACGCCGCGUGCGGGAUGACGGCCUUCGGGUUGUAAACCGCUUUUAGUAGGGAAGAAGCCUUCGGGUGACGGUACCUGCAGAAAAAGGACCGGCUAACUACGUGCCAGCAGCCGCGGUAAGAC
rnacentral:rRNA from 1 species